GGGCGUUUCAGGCACCCACUUGUGCAAUUUAUAGAUUUGUUUACAGUUAUGCUGUUUCAAUUUUUAAAAAUUAACCCCUGAAGGACACGUGACGGAAAUAUUCCGUCAUGAUUCCCUUUUAUUCCAGAAGUUGUGUCCUUAAGGGGUUAAUCUUCUUCACUUUUACUUGUUUAUGUUUUCUAAAAAGAAUAAAUCAUUUUACUCUUUAAGCCCAAGGUUCUUCCCCUACCUUCCAACCUGCAGUGUUUUCAUUUGUACUGCAAAAAUACAGCUGUAAAUUGUGUCAUGGCUUAGAUUCAGCUUUGAGCUUUCCACCGCAAGAAUGUGAUAACUGAACUUCAACUCCAAAAUCUGUGCUGUGUCAAUGAUGCGCUGCUGAUAGGAUAAACUCAGGAGUGCUUUACAAAUUAAGUGAGGGUCAUGAUUGGUUGAAUCAUUUUAGAAUGUAGUGAAUGCUCAUCUUGGGAAUAUUCCGAAAAUUCUAGAUUGUCA